GCCCAGAUGGCGGAAUUGGUANNAGACGCGCAUGGUUCAGGUCCAUGUGCCUUCGGGUGUGGAGGUUCGAGUCCUCUUCUGGGCACCA
rnacentral:tRNA from 1 species